AUGGACUUGACCUGGAUGUUGAUGCCAGGUCACCCAGUGGUAUGUGUGGGCCAGAUUGCUUCCGAAAAAACUAGGAAGGACUUGGGGCCUGGGGCUCCCAGAGACUUUGCUCAGUGUCCUCAGACUGUCCCUGGAACUGGGAGUCUAAAUUCACCUCUGAUCCUUUCUGAUUCUCUGGUUCUCUUUGGGUGCGGAUGCCACAUGCCUCCCUACCAGCCUGUGACUGAUGGGGAGUGGGUACCGGGCCCCCUCGCUCUGGGACAGGGGGUAGAAGUCUACCUCCAACAGGUUACUCUCUUUUUCUGCAGCUUCCAGGAUGAGUAUGGAGACAAACAAGGCAUGAGGCACCCUGGAGAAAUCGUGUGUCCAUCAGCAUCUCUCUUCGGCCCAUUCUGGCUCCAGGAGCUGGAUGGUGGAGCCAGAUGAUGGAGCCAGGAUUGGGCAACAACAUACAUUCGAGGCAUCCACCUUUCCUGGUGAGUUCAUCUUGGUUUUGUAUCUGCUGUUCUUUUAUUUCUUCUCCUUAUUCAUAUUUUGACCAUGUUUUAUACCUACCAUCAAAAAAUAGAUGUUCCCAUUGUGGCUCAGUGUGUUACGGACUCAAUUAGUAUCCAUGAGGAUGUGGGUUCAAUCCCUGACCUCGAUCAGUGGGUUAAGGAUCUGGCAUUGCUGUGGUGUAGGCCGGCAGUUGCAGCUCAGAUUCAACCCCUAGCCUGAGAACUUCCAUAUGCCACAAGUGUGGCCCUAAAAAACAGCAAAAAAACAAAAAAACAAAACAAAAAAAGGAUUGUCUCCCAAACAUUAGUUCUUGUGAUUCCUUAGCUCUCAGGGAUGUAGACAUGUCUGCAUUUGAUGGGGUUUUCUUUACCUUCCCUCCAAGUUCAGUACAUGCUUUGUAGUCUUAAUGAAUCACCUUUCGCCGUCUAUGGAGGUUAUUUCCCCCCUAAUUUAAAGAAAGGAUCUGCCAGUGGAACAACCUAAAUGAACUGAAAUGCCCCUGCCGAGUGCGCUUGCCCGGAGGACAGGCUCGUCGUUGAUAGACUUUAAUCAGAUCCCUCUUCUCCGUUCCCAGGAAAUCCUCCUUCAGUGAACUUCUCCUAACCCUGUCUCUGGGGUGUCACCCGGCCGUAAGGCCAGCGGGGGAGUCGUUUUUGGAAGGCCGCAUGGGGAACAGCUUUGGUGAAGUGUCUUUUCCUCUCCAAGAAAGAUCACAGGAAAACCUUUUGCUCAGAAUAAGCAUUUUGGAAGGGUGCUUGGCAGGCUUUGGCCCUUCAGUGGGGGCAGCACCCUCCCGGGGAGCUGGGGUGUCAGCAGCAGCGGGAGCAGCCACCUCAGCCUUGGGGGGCCCAAGCCACUCCUUCUAGCCCCCUCCCCCGUUAAGGAAUGUCCACCUUCCCUUGGGCCCAGGUGUGGGUUUGUCUUUUUC
rnacentral:lncRNA from 1 species